rnacentral:rRNA from 1 species
GACGAACGCUGGCGGCGUGCUUAACACAUGCAAGUCGAGCGGAAAGGCCCUUCGGGGUACUCGAGCGGCGAACGGGUGAGUAACACGUGAGCAACCUGCCCUUGGCUUUGGGAUAACCCUCGGAAACGAGGGCUAAUACCGGAUAUCCACUUUCUGUCGCAUGGUGGUUGGUGGAAAGUUUUUCGGCUGGGGAUGGGCUCGCGGCCUAUCAGCUUGUUGGUGGGGUGAUGGCCUACCAAGGCGACGACGGGUAGCCGGCCUGAGAGGGCGACCGGCAACACUGGGACUGAGACACGGCCCGGACUCCUACGGGAGGCAGCAGUGGGGAAUAUUGCACAAUGGGCGCAAGCCUGAUGCAGCGACGCCGCGUGAGGGAAGACGGCCUUCGGGUUGUAAACCUCUUUCAGCAGGGACGAAGGGUGACUGACGGUACCUGCAGAAGAAGCGCCGGCCAACUACGUGCCAGCCGCCGCCGUAACAC